AUUGAACGCUGGCGGCAGGCUUAACACAUGCAAGUCGAACGAGUGGCGGACGGGUGAGUAAUGCUUGGGAAUCUAGCUUAUGGAGGGGGAUAACUACGGGAAACUGUAGCUAAUACCGCGUACCAUAGGAUGAGCCCACGUGGGAUGAGGUAGUUGGUGAGGUAAAGGCUCACCAAGCCGACGAUCUCUAGCUGGUCUGAGAGGAUGACCAGCCACACUGGGACUGAGAAAGGGCCCAGACUCCGACGGGAGGAAGCAGGGGGGAAUAUUGCGCAAUGGGGGAAGCCUGACGAAGCCAUGCGGCGUGAAUGAAGAAGGCCUUGGGGUUGUAAAACUCUGUUGUUAGAGAAGCGGUAUCUAACCAGAAAGCCACGGCUAACUACGUGCCAGCAGCCGCGGUAAUAC
rnacentral:rRNA from 1 species